UACGGAGGGAGCUAGCGUUGUUCGGAAUUACUGGGCGUAAAGCGCGCGUAGGCGGCUUUGUAAGUUAGAGGUGAAAGCCCGGGGCUCAACCCCGGAAUUGCCUUUAAGACUGCAUCGCUUGAAUCCGGGAGAGGUGAGUGGAAUUCCGAGUGUAGAGGUGAAAUUCGUAGAUAUUCGGAAGAACACCAGUGGCGAAGGCGGCUCACUGGCCCGUUACCGACGCUCAGGCGCGACAGCGUGGGGAGCAAACAGG
rnacentral:rRNA from 1 species